rnacentral:misc_RNA from 1 species
GGGAUAUCUAAAAUCAAAAAUCGCAUAGCAUUUUGGGUAGAGGUUUCCACGAGGUCGCUUUUACUUACAGUGCACUUAGUUCAGUCUGGCGUGACUGUUCACAAUGGAGAAGCAAGCGCAAGAUACUCAAGAUGGUACGACUCCAGAAAAGGAUGAUAAUGCCCCAGAAAGAAGCGAAAGAUGGGCUAGAAAAGCAGAAUUCAUAUUUGCUUGUGUAGGCUUUGUAAUUGGAUAUGGCAAUAUUUGGAGGUUUCCAUACAUGUGUUUCAAGAAUGGAGGAGGUGCUUUCCUGUUUCCCUACAUUAUUUUCUUGAUUCUUGCUGGUGUACCAUUGUUUCUGUUAGAACAAAGUGUCGGUCAAUAUACACAAGGAGGUCCUAUUAAUGCUUGGCGCAAAAUGUGCCCUCUUUUCUCAGGGAUUGGAUAUGCAAUGAUUGCUGUCUCUUUUCUUGUUUCCAUCUACUACAACGUCAUUAUGACGUGGUCCUUGUACUAUUUUUACUANUCGUUCUACUCUCUACUGCCUUGGGUUGGAUGUAGUCACGACUGGAACACUGAAAGCUGCCUUGUUCACAAUUCCUCAAACCCCAACGCUACGGGNGUAUCGUCGAGCAGAGAAUUUUUCACGAAUCACGUUUUGAAAAUCACUCAGGGCAUNGANCAACCAGGCCCAAUGAAUACACCCGUCACACUNUGUUUGCUGGCGGCCUGGGUCAUAGUCUACUUCUGUAUUUUCAAAGGUGUAAGGACAACUGGAAAGGUCGUCUACGUUACAGCCACUGCGCCAUUCAUCGUACUUAUCAUAUUCUUUUUUCGUGGCGUAACUCUACCUGGAGCCAAGGAUGGGAUCGUCUUUUAUUUGAUACCUUCGUUCACCAGACUUGGUGAUCCAAAGGUAUGGAUUGAUGCCUCUACACAAAUUCUUUAUUCGCUGGCGCUAGGGCUUGGUGUUCAUUUGACAUUUGCCAGUUACAAUAGCAGGAAGAACAACAUUUUAAGGGAUGCAAUGAUCAUCUCUAUUACAAACUGCUGUACAAGUAUAUUCGCUGGUCUUGUGAUAUUCUCAGUUAUUGGGUUUAUGGCUCACGAGNUGAAUAAAAGUGUCGAAGAAGUCGCUUCACAAGGGCCUGGUUUGGCGUUUAUUGUUUACCCAGCAGCCAUUGCACAGAUGCCGCUGCCGCAACUCUGGGCUGUGUUGUUUUUCUUCAUGCUUAUUAUGCUCGGCUUGGAUAGUCAGUUUGGUCAGGUAGAAAUCGUAGCUUCUGUAAUUAUAGAGCAUUUCCCGGACAAGCUGAGUCGUUUUCGAGAACUGGUCGUCUUAGCUGUUUGUGUUGUCUUGUUCCUUCUGGGUCUUUCAUGUGUCACACACGUAGGGUGGCAUUUAUGUGUUCAACCUCUUCGACUCGAUGUCCGCCGGGCUCUCGUUACUUUUCAUUGUGAUGGCAGAGAUAAUAGCUGUGGCCUGGAUCUUUGGUGCGGAAAGGUUCGCUGGUGAAAUUUCUACGAUGACAUGCCGACCAGUUUGGCGUUGGUGGGUGUGGUGUUGGAAGUAUAUUUCUCCUGUANUAGUAAUGGGAAUUUUUCUCUUUAGCCUCGUUAAGUACAANANAGUAAAAUACGAAGAAUAUGUGUAUCCUGCCUGGGCGGAAGCCAUUGGGUGGAUGAUUGCACUGGCAUCNAUGCUGUGGAUCCCUGGUGUGGCG